ACCAGACUCCUACGGGAGGCAGCAGUGGGGGAUAUUGCACAAUGGGGGGAACCCUGAUGCAGCGACGCCGCGUGGGUGAAGAAGCGCCUCGGCGCGUAAAGCCCUGUCAGCAGGGAAGAAAAUGACGGUACCUGAAGAAGAAGCCCCGGCUAACUACGUGCCAGCAGCCGCGGUAAUACGUAGGGGGCAAGCGUUAUCCGGAUUUACUGGGUGUAAAGGGGGCGCAGACGGCGAUGCAAGCCAGGAGUGAAAGCCCGCGGCCCAACCCCGGGACUGCUCUUGGAACUGCGUGGCUGGAGUGCAGGAGGGGCAGGCGGAAUUCCUGGUGUAGCGGUGAAAUGCGUAGAUAUCAGGAGGAACACCGGUGGCGAAGGCGGCCUGCUGGACUGCAACUGACGUUGAGGCCCGAAAGCGUGGGGAGCAAACAGGAUUAGAUACCCCGGUA
rnacentral:rRNA from 1 species